rnacentral:lncRNA from 1 species
AUUAUUUUGAACCAAACCAACAUUUGUUAUUGAAGUAGCAGUCCUGGGAGUGCAUUCUGACGAAGAACACCAAAGGUGGACUCCAAUCAAGUUGUUGAAACAUCUCAAGGAUGAUACACAGAAACAUGAUGCCCCUAAGCUCAACUUCGAGUCUCAUAGCAAAGGGUCUGAAUACUUAUGUAAAUAAGGGCGCGUCACGCUCCCCGACGAAUCUGACGGGGCCACAAAGACCCGAGCCCUAGGACCAUGCCUCAGGACUACCUGGCAUGAUGACUCCUUGCUGUCCCCAGUUCACCUGGCCGUGCUGCUGCUCCAGUUUCAACUGUUCUGCCUGCGGCUAUGGAACCCUGACCUGUUCACCGGACGUGCUACCUUGUCCCAGACCUG